rnacentral:rRNA from 3 species
CGGCCCGCCGGCGAGUGGCGAACGGGUGAGUAAUGCAUCGGAACGUACCCAGUCAUGGGGGAUAACUACGCGAAAGCGUAGCUAAUACCGCAUACGCCCUGAGGGGGAAAGCGGGGGAUCGCAAGACCUCGCGUGAUUGGAGCGGCCGAUGUCGGAUUAGCUAGUUGGUGGGGUAAAGGCCUACCAAGGCGACGAUCCGUAGCGGGUCUGAGAGGAUGAUCCGCCACACUGGGACUGAGACACGGCCCAGACUCCUACGGGAGGCAGCAGUGGGGAAUUUUGGACAAUGGGGGCAACCCUGAUCCAGCCAUGCCGCGUGAGUGAAGAAGGCCUUCGGGUUGUAAAGCUCUUUCAGACGGAAAGAAAACGCUUCUCCUAAUACGGGAGGCGGAUGACGGUA